AACCAUCCCCCAAAAAAACAGUCAGGAAGGGGAAAACAGAUUGGUUGCCAAGGCUCCUUCCAUCUGCCAUGCCACACCGUAUCAGUAAUAUCAAGCUUUACAAAGACAAAGAGAGGAGGGCUUCUGUGAGUGGAAAGUCAAAGUAGUGGAGUGUUGUAACAAUUCAUUAUUAAAAGAUCACAGCGUGGGCCUUAUGUCACCAAAGUCCCUGUUGUGAGCUGCUGUAACUGUUGCUCAGAACAACAAUUACUACAACUAUGCAAGUGGUAUGGCAGGUUUUUCACGGUGGAACCUAAUGAGCAUCUAGCACCAGUACCUCACAAAGGAACUGGUGUACUGUUCAUUCAGGCUUCAUCAUUCUGUUGGGUGGAUAAUCUGUUGUGUUUAAACCUCUAUUGAUAAUGUACACAUUAAAUUAGUGCUUUUUGCAGUGCGAAAACAAGACGCUACAGCAAUGCUAACAGCUCUGUGAGACUUGGAACUAAAUGCUAACAGGGUCAACAUGAAAUGGCUUACAUGCUGAUGUUUAUCAGGAUGGUAUUUUAUUUUCUGGUUUGUUGACUCUGGUUGGCUGAGGAGCGCGAGACAGACGACACAGCUGAGGAUCAUUGACUGCAAUCAACAGCAGCUUAUAUUCCCCUGCUCUUCCCUCUGCCAGAUUGUCUUUGCUACACCAGUGUGCCUCUAACUACUUCUGCACUGCACCUCUGUACACCGCCAGCCCCAUGCAUUGCUACUCAGCUUCAACUCCACAGACUGUCCUUCCCCCUUGAGCCCUUUGUUUAUCAAAAGUUUAUUAAAACCUC